ACAGAAAAUUCAUUCUUUCAUGCAAUUUCUUAAUACUAAAUUCAUGAAAAUAAUAUAUCACUGGAUAAAUUAUUGAACGAAACAAUUACCGAAAGUAAGUGAAUAACGUAAAAAUUGCAGGUGCACACGAAAAUUAAGUCAUUGUUAUAUUUAAUUCAUUGGUGUAAAAAAAUACUUAUUGUUAUAUCAAUUUGUUGCAAAAUAUUUCGAACAAAAGAAGUGCAUAACUUUUUUACUUCUCCUUGUCAAACAAUAGGAAAAGUUGAUACUUGACCUCAUUUAAAUGUUAGGUCUUGGAAGAUCUUAUUUACAUUUAAUAAGGAUACAGGAUUCAAGUAAUUCCAGUCAUGUAAAUAAUAAUUAUGGACAAAGUGAAGAAAUGCAUCUAAAAACAUAUCACUCAUCCUCUGAACCUUUAUGAAUCUGAUCUGUACAGUAUAUGCCUGGAAAAUAAUUAUAAUAUGCACCUGAAUCAUUGUGAAUAUACAAUAAUAUGGUCAUUAACAUUUCUGCAACUUUAAAAAAGAAAAACCACCAAUUAAUCAAUCAUGACAGUGUAAUUAUGCACUGCAUCAUCAUCAGACUGGUUAAAGAGUGCAAAUCGAAGCAUACAAACUGUACAUUUUGUAACAAUGCACAGAAAUACCUGCAGCAUUCAUAUUGUAAAAAUACAAUUUGAUAAUUCAGCAUCACUCUGGUAUUAGAGAACAGUAGAAAUUUGUUAAUCCAGUACCUAUAAUAGAGGUUUGAAAAAACAUAUCCAUCAAACCAAAUCAUAGUAGAUAGAAUGAUCUUGCAAGUAGCUUGUUUGGACAGCAUAAAGAAAGAUCCUAUGCUACUUGAGAGGUUUCCCCCCCAAUGAAGUUCAAUAGUGUUGAACCAGAAAGUGAAUAAAGUCAUGUAAUCAUUUGACUGUGGUGUCUGACAAACUAUGCUUGAAAAUGAUGUUUGUUCAUCAGGAACAUUUUAUCAAGAUCAUUCUGGUAACUAAUUGAUUUGGCAGUUCCAAUAAAAUGGAAUAUCAAUGUCAAAGAAUGGACAAAUUUAUGGGAAAUGGCACAUUUUGAAGAAAUUCAUUACUGGAUGAUUCACUAUCAUCAUACUUUUCUUCUGUUUAAGCAGUGCUCUGUGAAGCCACUUCAAGUGUUCCGUGAAAAAAAAAUCAAAUAUAUAAUUAAAAAUUGUUGCAAAAGAAAAAUCAAUACAAUGUAAAAUAAUUUUUGUAUGGGAAUGUAAUCAGCAAAUGCCAAUGAUAUCAUAUACUAGACUGAGUAUGCUCUUGAUUUCAAAAGAUUUAACACAUCAGCUUUAAAGCAGGGGUGGCAAGUGUUCAGUGAAAAGGAAAAAAAAAAAAAUAGUAGUUUUGAAGUCAGUGUUCCCUGACUUCAAAAAUUUUCUUAUAUUUUGAAUU